GGUUGUAGCUCAAUGGUAGAGUGCUUGCCUAGCAUGUGUGAGGCACUGGGUUUGAUUCUCAGCACCA
rnacentral:tRNA from 1 species